UAGGGAAUCUUCGGCAAUGGGGGGAACCCUGACCGAGCAACGCCGCGUGAGUGAAGAAGGGUUUCGGAUCGUAAAGCUCUGUUGUUAAGGAAGAACGAGUGUGAGAAUGGAAAGUUCAUGCUGUGACGGUACUUAACCAGAAAGGGACGGCUAACUACGUGCCAGCAGCCGCGGUAAUACGUAGGUCCCGAGCGUUGUCCGGAUUUAUUGGGCGUAAAGCGAGCGCAGGCGGUUAGAAAAGUUUGAAGUGAAAGGCAGUGGCUCAACCAUUGUAGGCUUUGGAAACUGUUUAACUUGAGUGCAGAAGGGGAGAGUGGAAUUCCAUGUGUAGCGGUGAAAUGCGUAGAUAUAUGGAGGAACACCGGUGGCGAAGGCGGCUCUCUGGUCUGUAACUGACGAUGAGGCUCGAAAGCGUGUGGAGCGAACAUG
rnacentral:rRNA from 1 species